CGAACGGGCAUAGCAAUAUGUCAGUGGCAAACGGGUGAGUAAUACAGAGGAAUCUACCUAGCAGUAAGGAAUAACCCUGGGAAACCAGAGCUAAUGCCAUAUAUUACCCUUCGGGGGAAAGAUUUAUCGCUGUUAGAUGAGCCUCUGCCGGAUUAGCUAGUUGGUAGGGUAAUGGCCUACCAAGGCAAUGAUCCGUAGCUGGUCUGAGAGGAUGAUCAGCCACACUGGGACUGAGACACGGCCCAGACUCC
rnacentral:rRNA from 1 species